rnacentral:rRNA from 1 species
CCUACGGGAGGCAGCAGUGAGGAAUAUUGGUCAAUGGCCGGAAGGCUGAACCAGCCAUGCCGCGUGAAGGUCAGUGCCCUAUGGGCGUUAAACUUCUUUUGUGCGGGAGCAAUAAUGGUCACGUGUGGCCAGACGAGAGUACCGUACGAAUAAGCAUCGGCUAACUCCGUGCCAGCAGCCGCGGUUAUACGGGGGAUGCAGGCGUUAUCCGGAUUUAUUGGGUUUAAAGGGUGCGUAGGCUGUGAGGUAAGUCAGCGGUGAAAUGCCCCCGCUCAACGGGGUGAAGUGCAAUUGAUACUGCCUGGCUGGAAUGCGGAUGCCGUGGGAGGAAUGUGUGGUGUAGCGGUGAAAUGCAUAGAUAUCACACAGAACACCGAUUGCGAAGGCAUCUCACGAAUCCGCGAUUGACGCUGAUGCACGAAAGCGUGGGUAUCAAACAGGAUUAGAUACCCCAGUAGUC